rnacentral:rRNA from 1 species
UACGGAGGGGGCGAGCGUUAUUCGGAAUCAUUGGGCGUAAAGGGCGCGUAGGCGGUCAGCACAAGUCAGUUGUGAAAUCUCCGGGCUUAACUCGGAAAGGUCAACUGAUACUGUGCGACUAGAGUGCAGAAGGGGCAACUGGAAUUCUCGGUGUAGCGGUGAAAUGCGCAGAUAUCAGGAGGAACACCCGUGGCUAAGGCGGUUCUCUAGUACGGUACUGACGCUGAGACGCGAAAGCGUGGGGAGCGAACAGG